rnacentral:lncRNA from 1 species
AUCAGAGUCCCUUUUAGCAAUAUAAACAAUUCAUUAACAAGAAAGGGGAUAGUAAAAUCAAUGGUUUUAUUUUUCAGAUAUAGGCAAAAACUUUUGAUUGUUAAUAUGUUCAGGAAUCUCUAUGGAAAUGUUUCAUAUAGGCCUAUCCUGAAACCUUUCUAUUUACAUAGUUAUAAUUGACAAAUGGUUCUCCAUAUUUUUAUGAGGAACCUCUCACAAGAAUGUUUCUUGUGUAUCUACAAAUAAGGCCUCCAGUCUCUAACCAGAAGGUAAAGUGGGGGUUCUUGUGUGUCCAUGUAGAGUACUUGCCAGGGAAAUGUUCCACUAGGAAGC